CCCUUAGAUGUUCUGGGCCGCACGCGCGCUACACUGAUGCAUUCAACGAGUUUCUUCCUGGUCCGAGAGGAAUGGGUAACCUUUUGAAAGUGCAUCGUGAUAGGGAUAGACUAUUGCAAUUAUUGGUCUUCAACGAGGAAUUCCUAGUAGACGUAGUUCAUCAGACUGCAUCGAUUACGUCCCUGCCCUUUGUACACACCGCCCGUCGCUCCUACUGAUUGGUAUAUAAGGUAAAAAUCUCGGAGAAGUUGGGAUUUCAUGCAGGUUUACUUGCAUGUGCCUGGCCUCAAAGUUAUUUAAAUCUUCUGUACUAGAGGAAGGAGAAGUCGUAACA
rnacentral:rRNA from 1 species